rnacentral:rRNA from 1 species
UUUUCGGAGAGUUUGAUCCUGGCUCAGGACGAACGCUGGCGGCGUGCCUAAUACAUGCAAGUCGAGCGGACAGAAGGGAGCUUGCUCCCGGAUGUUAGCGGCGGACGGGUGAGUAACACGUGGGUAACCUGCCUGUAAGACUGGGAUAACUCCGGGAAACCGGAGCUAAUACCGGAUAGUUCCUUGAACCGCAUGGUUCAAGGAUGAAAGACGGUUUCGGCUGUCACUUACAGAUGGACCCGCGGCGCAUUAGCUAGU